UACGUAGGGUGCAAGCGUUGUCCGGAUUUAUUGGGCGUAAAGAGCUCGUAGGCGGUCAGUCGCGUCGGAUGUGAAAACCCGGAGCUUAACUCCGGGCCUGCAUUCGAUACGGGCUGACUAGAGUGUUGUAGGGGAGACUGGAACUCCUGGUGUAGCGGUGAAAUGCGCAGAUAUCAGGAAGAACACCGGUGGCGAAGGCGGGUCUCUGGGCAACUACUGACGCUGAGGAGCGAAAGCGUGGGGAGCAAACAGG
rnacentral:rRNA from 1 species